UAGCCAGGAUUUUUGGAAAGGGAGGCAAGCUGUGCGGCGCGCGAAGCGCGCCGCAAAAUUUCGCGGAACCACGCCCUUUUGGGGCGUGGACACACCUAUUUUUCAACAUGGCGGACUUCUUAACCGAUCAUAGGCAACGUUGAAUACCUUUUCAGCCUUAUAAUGGCAUCAUAGAAAGACUGCUUUGGCCUUUUCCUUUGAUAUGCGUCCUGAGUUUUCCCAAGGUUUACGGUUUAGUACAUACAGAAACACGUGGCCAAUGGCCAACUAUCUCGUUCUCACUCCUUUUCUAUAAACUAGUUCUUUUCUUGUGCAAAGACUAUUGUCAUCUCAACUAAGAUCUUAAAUACUGAAGAACUCAAGGCAGAGUUUAAUGUACUGAUACAAGAUAGAUCCUUCACUGUGGUAUAGCAUGAAUUGCAAAUUUGUGAUAUGUUUAUGAAUUGUGUAUUCAUUAUCAUUAUCUAUUUUAUGAGCAUUGUAUCUUCUUUGUCAUUUACCAUUCAUUUAUUUACUUUGUAUAAUAA